AGAGUUUGAUCCUGGCUCAGGAUGAACGCUAGCUACAGGCUUAACACAUGCAAGUCGAGGGGAAACGACAUCGAAAGCUUGCUUUUGAUGGGCGUCGACCGGCGCACGGGUGAGUAACGCGUAUCCAACCUGCCCACCACUUGGGGAUAACCUUGCGAAAGUAAGACUAAUACCCAAUGACGUCUCUAGAAGACAUCUGAAGGAGAUUAAAGAUUUAUCGGUGAUGGAUGGGGAUGCGUCUGAUUAGCUUGUGGCGGGGUAACGCCACAAGGCGACGAUCAGUAGGGGUCUGAGAGGAGGUCCCCANAUUGGAACUGAGACACGGUCCAAACUCCUACGGGAGCA
rnacentral:rRNA from 1 species